rnacentral:rRNA from 1 species
GAUGAACGCUAGCGGGAGGCCUAACACAUGCAAGCCGAGCGGUAUUUGUCUUUCGGGACAGAGAGAGCGGCGUACGGGUGCGGAACACGUGUGCAACCUGCCUUUAUCAGGGAGAUAGCCUUUCGAAAGGAAGAUUAAUAUCCCAUAAUAUAAUGAAUGGCAUCAUUUAUUAUUGAAAGCUCCGGCGGAUAGAGAUGGGCACGCGCAAGAUUAGAUAGUUGGUGAGGUAACGGCUCACCAAGUCAGUGAUCUUUAGGGGGCCUGAGAGGGUGAUCCCCCACACUGGUACUGAGACACGGACCAGACUCCUACGGGAGGCAGCAGUGAGGAAUAUUGGACAAUGGGUGAGAGCCUGAUCCAGCCAUCCCGCGUGAAGGACGACGGUUCUAUGGAUUGUAAACUUCUUUUAUACUGGGAUAAACCUACCCUCGUGAGGGUAGCUGAAGGUACAGUAUGAAUAAGCACCGGCUAACUCCGUGCCAGCAGCCGCGGUAAUACGGAGGGUGCAAGCGUUAUCCGGAUUUAUUGGGUUUAAAGGGUCCGUAGGCGGAUCUGUAAGUCAGUGGUGAAAUCUCACAGCUUAACUGUGAAACUGCCAUUGAUACUGCAGGUCUUGAGUAAAGUAGAAGUGGCUGGAAUAAGUAGUGUAGCGGUGAAAUGCAUAGAUAUUACUUAGAACACCAAUUGCGAAGGCAGGUCACUAUGUUUUAACUGACGCUGAUGGACGAAAGCGUGGGGAGCGAACAGGAUUAGAUACCCUGGUAGUCCACGCCGUAAACGAUGCUAACUCGUUUUUGGGUUUUCGGAUUCAGAGACUAAGCGAAAGUGAUAAGUUAGCCACCUGGGGAGUACGUUCGCAAGAAUGAAACUCAAAGGAAUUGACGGGGGCCCGCACAAGCGGUGGAUUAUGUGGUUUAAUUCGGUGAUACGCGAGGAACCUUACCAAGGCUUAAAUGGGAAUUGACAGGUUUGGAAACAGACUUUUCUUCGGACAAUUUUCAAGGUGCUGCAUGGUUGUCGUCAGCUCGUGCCGUGAGGUGUUAGGUUAAGUCCUGCAACGAGCGCAACCCCUGUCACUAGUUGCCAUCAUUCAGUUGGGGACUCUAGUGAGACUGCCUACGCAAGUAGAGAGGAAGGUGGGGAUGACGUCAAAUCAUCACGGCCCUUACGCCUUGGGCCACACACGUAAUACAAUGGCCGGUACAGAGGGCAGCUACUUAGCGAUAAGAUGCGAAUCUCGAAAGCCGGUCUCAGUUCGGAUUGGAGUCUGCAACUCGACUCUAUGAAGCUGGAAUCGCUAGUAAUCGCGCAUCAGCCAUGGCGCGGUGAAUACGUUCCCGGGCCU